rnacentral:ncRNA from 1 species
CGGUGAGGUAGAGGUCGCGGUUUUUAUGAGUAGUUGAUUGGAGACACAGAGAAGUCGGCGAAAAUCAAUGAAAGGAAAGACCGCCGAAGCUUCAUUGUGUUCUCUGAUCAAUGAGGCUGGGGCUGUGCUCGAAUAGGGGCAGCACUGUCACAUUUGCCUGCCAAGCAAAUGUGUUGCGCUAUCUUGCGG